rnacentral:tRNA from 1 species
GCCGGGGUGGCGAAACUGGAGAGACGCGGGGGACUUAAAAUCCCUUGUCACGUGAGUGGCGUGCGGGUUCGAAUCCCGCCCUCGGCACCA